rnacentral:lncRNA from 1 species
CUAGCGGCUGAAAAGCGAGAGGUCGGCCAACCACUGCCUUGAAAAUCACCACGGCUACCGCACCGCUCUAGUACUCCAGCACGUUCACGUUACCUGCUGAUGACAACUGCCCCAUCAGAUGCUUAUCCCGUGGCAGCGGUCUUUCCUCUCCGAGGCGCUGAGCCGUUCCAACUGCGAUUCCUGUUUAGUCUAGGUUUCCUUCGCAAGAUCUUCAAUGCUGCCUUGAGGAUCCGCUCUUGGCAUUCACCGCGUGCCUUAAUUGUAUGACAUUAAAUCAAGGUCCGCUGUGAACACGGAGAGUCAGAGCCUUGGAGCGCUCCCCCUCCCUCUCUCCCUUUUUGGAAGCAAAAUAGCAACCGAUCCCCGAAAGAAGGUAAUUCCCCUCCCCCCUAGUCCCUUCCUGGCCUGAGCUUAAUGUAAUUCAUGCUUGAGUUUUCUUACUAGCCCAUCUGUUGUUUGCAAUGACCAGGAAGCUGUUAAAUAUGUAUUUAACGGAAUAAUAAAGGACAGAAAUUAAGCGUGUGUCUAUUACA